rnacentral:rRNA from 1 species
GUAGGGAAUAUUGGGCAAUGGUCGGAAGACUGACCCAGCCAUGCCGCGUGCAGGAAGACGGCCCUCUGGGUUGUAAACUGCUUUUAUCUGGGAAGAAAAAGGCCAUGCGUGGCAAAUUGCCGGUACCAGAUGAAUAAGCACCGGCUAACUCCGUGCCAGCAGCCGCGGUAAUACGGAGGGUGCGAGCGUUGUCCGGAUUUAUUGGGUUUAAAGGGUGCGUAGGCGGUUGAUUAAGUCAGCGGUGAAAGACUUCGGCUUAACCGGAGCAGUGCCGUUGAUACUGGUUGGCUUGAGUGUCGGAGGGGUACAUGGAAUUGAUGGUGUAGCGGUGAAAUGCAUAGAUACCAUCAGGAACACCGAUAGCGAAGGCAUUGUACUGGCCGACAACUGACGCUGAUGCACGAAAGUGUGGGGAUCGAACAGGAUUAGAAACCCGAGUAGUCC